AUUGAACGCUGGCGGCAGGCCUAACACAUGCAAGUCGAGCGGAUGAAGGGAGCUUGCUCCUGGAUUCAGCGGCGGACGGGUGAGUAAUGCCUAGGAAUCUGCCUGGUAGUGGGGGAUAACGUCCGGAAACGGGCGCUAAUACCGCAUACGUCCUGAGGGAGAAAGUGGGGGAUCUACGGACCUCACGCUAUCAGAUGAGCCUAGGUCGGAUUAGCUAGUUGGUGGGGUAAAGGCCUACCAAGGCGACGAUCCGUAACUGGUCUGAGAGGAUGAUCAGUCACACUGGAACUGAGACACGGUCCAGACUCCUACGGGAGGCAGCAGUGGGGAAUAUUGGACAAUGGGCGAAAGCCUGAUCCAGCCAUGCCGCGUGUGUGAAGAAGGUCUUCGGAUUGUAAAGCACUUUAAGUUGGGAGGAAGGGCAGUAAGUUAAUACCUUGCUGUUUCGACGUUACCAACAGAAUAAGCACCGGCUAACUUCGUG
rnacentral:rRNA from 1 species